rnacentral:rRNA from 1 species
UGGGGAAUCUUAGACAAUGGGGGAAACCCUGAUCUAGCCAUGCCGCGUGAGUGACGAAGGCCCUAGGGUCGUAAAGCUCUUUCGCCAGGGAUGAUAAUGACAGUACCUGGUAAAGAAACCCCGGCUAACUCCGUGCCAGCAGCCGCGGUAAUACGGAGGGGGUUAGCGUUGUUCGGAAUUACUGGGCGUAAAGCGUACGUAGGCGGACUAGUCAGUCAGAGGUGAAAUCCCAGGGCUCAACCCUGGAACUGCCUUUGAUACUGCUAGUCUUGAGUUCGAGAGAGGUGAGUGGAAUUCCGAGUGUAGAGGUGAAAUUCGUAGAUAUUCGGAGGAACACCAGUGGCGAAGGCGGCUCACUGGCUCGAUACUGACGCUGAGGUACGAAAGUGUGGGGAGCAAACAGGAUUAGAUACCCCCGUAGUCC